rnacentral:lncRNA from 1 species
CCCCACAACUGCCUCACAAGCAUCCCAGAGUCCAGUCAGCAGACAGCAGAAGAGACUGUCAGCAGACCACCUUGGAGGGGAUGCUUGGAGCUGCCUAACGUGUGAUUCAAAGAUGAAUUCCAUGUGUUUGGAGAAGAAGCCCUAGCCUCAACACAAAGGUUGGCCACAUUCCAGCCAAGGUAGCACGGAGUGAAGGCCCGUGGAGGGAGAGCUGGGCUUUUCUGAACUACUUCAGUACACCUUGCUGUGCCUUGGCCUGCCGUGUUUCAUCCCCAUGGCUGUCCUCAGUGAUGUGCAUGGUCACUGCUCCCUUCACCACUGAGAAGACGGGCACAGGACAGUCAGGGGAUGUGUCCAAGGUCCCACAGCAGGAAGGGCUGGAGCCAGAAUGUGGUCUGAGAGGCUGGAUAUACAAAGAGACAAUGGCAUGACCAUCUGUACAAAUGGAACUAUGGCCCACAACCUGCAGCAGCCAGCCCAGGAAGCCAACCCGUCACCUGCAGCAGCCAGGAUGGAUGCUGGCCUGCCCUCAGUUGUACUCACAUCAUUGGUCUUAUGGGGAAAUUUUAAGACCUCCCACUUGUAAGGUUUUAUAGCCCUCUAUGGAAUAUUGAAGAAAGAGUAAAAUGCAUCCAAAAAAAAAAAAAAACACUAAACUGGAUAAAUUCUAAGGCCUCUUCAGGUCUUAAGAUGGCCAUUUUCUAGGUCCUCUUGCUGCAGCAGUGAAAUCCACAAACACGGACAAGUCAGUCAGUUACGUGCCUUUCAGAGAAAACUUCUGACUUAGGAAUUCCAGCUAUUUGGCCCAACCCAUAUUAGAUUGUGUUAUAAAGACAUGGUAAAUUACAUCACGAAGGGAAGAGCAGAGGAAACAUAAUAUUCCUUCAAGACCCAUCAGCUCAGAUGUUAGCAGAACACCCCUAAGGAGGAAAACAAGAAAUUUUGGGUUUGAACUUGGUACUUCCCAGCAGCCCUGGGAGUGGGGUCAGAAGCCCUGCUGGGGGCCAAAGAACUCUGAGGAUCAAAGAUGUUGAGCAUCACCUUAGAGGCCAAAGAUCAGAACAGUGGAGGUGGCCUUUGAAGCCCAACCUGUCUUUCACCAGAGAGUGAGAACGGCCUCUAUUUCCAGGAAGCUCACUGCAGCAAUAAUCAUGAUGCUCUGAGCCUGACAAGCAAAAGAAAACUUCUUUAGGAGGAUAAAAGGGAGAUGAAGAAACAGAAAACACAUCAGCUCUCCAUCCAGAUUACAGAAAGCAGAAAACAUCCUGAAGUGAAUAACAUAGGAAUCGCUCUUUUUCCCCCCUGAGAUAGCAGGUUACUUAUGAGAAACAAGCUUGAAAUCUCUGCACCUGGACCAGCUUCCAGAGGCUUUUGUCCUGACCAGCUGGCUUUGGGGAAGUAAAGGAAACCAGAGAAGAAGAGGCUGAAAGAAUUGGUUUCCACCGUGACCUUUGAACCCUCGGGCGAGUUGUCAGCCUCACUGAGGAUGAGUGUACUCCAUAUCAAGUGAGGUCACUUUACUCGCAAGCUUGUUGUGAGGACUGAAUGAAACCUUUUCUUUUUUCUUGGAGUUUCAGAGCAACGUCCCUGAGCCCAGCCCCACACUGGCUUGAGCCCUGUCGUCGGUCAAGACACGGUGCUUUCUCCCCUCCCCUCUGCACUCCAGCUUACUCUGCAGUCAGGAGGUGGCACCACGAUCCCCUUUAAGACUUUGCCACUUGGGCCAGCUGCGCCCCUGUGAAAUUCCCUGUUUCUAUUGCAGGCCACAAGGACGAGCUGAGAAAUGGCUUCCAGUCACCAUCUAGAUUAGAAAGCCUAUAUUUCAAAUAUAGAUAUAUCAAUUAUGCCUGUAAAAAGACAUUAAAUCCCACAGGGCUGUAAUUCCUAGACUCUACGAAUUUCAUCUUGCACCAAAUUUUAUUAUUUCAUUUAUAAUUCGGAUUCUUCAAAUCUAAGAGUGCCUGGCUCAAAAUUAAAAUACCUACAACUAUGCCAAAACUGGACUCUUUAAUUGCCUUACUGGAACCAGUAGCUGAUUCAAAGCAAAACGAAACAAAAUUCCUCCUUUCUCUGAUUUAGUGAAUCAAUGAUCUAACUGAACUCAUUUUUGGACUGAGUUUGCGGCACUUGCAGCCCUGAGGGACACAUUCCCCCACCACACUGAGCCUGCACUCCCAUCAAUGCAAAUGAACAUUUUGCUUAUUCAGAUUGGGGGGGUGAAGGAAGUCACAAAAGGGUUAAUACAUAUGGCAUUUCAUUGUAAUAUGUACUCACUACUAACUAAAUUAAAAGAGAUGUGAGUUAUUAAAAACUCCAUCUUAAGAAAGUAACAGAAAUCAGAGUUCAGAUUCGUUGUUACUGAGUUUCCAACCAACACCUGUGAGUUAAACCUACGGCCACCCUGAAAACGGUUCAUAUUUUCAAAAGCUUCAUCGAAGAUGAGCUGCACUAAAGAUUCAUAUUACAUAUCAUGCUGCAAUAAGAAAAUCAAAUAAGGCCUUUCCAUAUUCAAUAAUAAAGUUUAAAGAAAAGUAAUAUUUGUUUAGCCAGUUAGCCAGAAAUUAGAUGUAUCAGAAUACAUCAUUCUUUGAGCAUUUUAGAAAAAUCAGGGUAUUUC